AAGUCGUAACAAGGUUUAUUAACACGUAUCCAACGUUAAACAACCCUGUGAACUUUCAGACGCUCUUGUAGCCCAGGCGGAACAGCAAUCCCGGUAAAUCAAUGGCGGAAAAGUUUUGAUUCGGGACCUCUGUCCAAUUAGUUACAAUCGAGCUAGGAGCAGUGGCAUGGUUUCCCUAAGCAGUGCAGAAGGAUCCACUGAGUAAGGAUAACGCAUCACGGUUGAGGUCGAUCACCGGCCGGCAGACAUGUCACAGGGCUACAUGCCCCUUCGUUCACCCCUUGCCUAAAACUCGCCCACCGGAAAAACCGAACAACUGUUAACAAUGGAUAUCUUGGUUCUC
rnacentral:misc_RNA from 1 species